UAUAUGCCGCUACUGUGUUUAAAGCUUUAGGUUUCUUUUCUUGUAUAAGCUAUUUGCAGGAUCAUCCGGAGUUCUACACAACCUAUAUUUGCAGAUUAUAUUGGGAAGUUCUGUAUAGAAUCUAUUGAGUUUGAAAAAUUGAGUCUUGGAACGCUUCCACCAACAGUUCACGGAGUUAAGUUCUAUGAGACCAACGAGAAGGAGCUUUUGUUAGAACCAUCAAUAAAGUGGGCAGGAAAUCCCAACAUUGUUUUGGUGCUAAAGAUGAUGUCUUUACGAAUUAGAGUUCAGGUCAGUAAGAGUGAUAAUGGAACGCAAGCAAUGCAAAGCUUUACUACUCUUAGUUCCAUAAACACGGAAGUUUUAUCAUCUUUUACCUUUGCAGCCUCUUCUGCCGACCUUCCCUUGUUUUGGAAUGGUUGUAGUUUCAUUAAUGGAAAAGCCACAUGUUGAUUUUGGAUUGAAAGUGCUUGGUGGAGUUUGGCUACUGCAAAAUGUUUUCAUUGAGUUGUGUUCUAUUCUUGUAUGGCAAUCAAAAAAUUAGACACCCAAAGAUGACUAAUGGGAGGACAAAAAAAAAACAAGGGUGAGGAGAGAUUAGUAUUAGUUUUAAUAUUAAUAAAAGAUAGAAACAUUUAUUUGAGUAUGUGCAAUGACAAUGCUCUAAACCCUAACACUCUUUUGUAAACCCAAACCAACAUAUAAUUUAUUAAU